rnacentral:rRNA from 1 species
AGCUGAGAGGUGGUGCAUGGCCGUCGUCAGUUCGUACUGUGAAGCAUCCUGUUAAGUCAGGCAACGAGCGAGACCCACGUCCACAGUUGCCAGCAUACCCUCGGGGUGAUGGGUACAUGUGGAGACCGCCGCUGCUAAAGCGGAGGAAGGAAUGGGCAACGGUAGGUCAGUAUGCCCCGAAUCUCCCGGGCUACACGCGGGCUACAAUGGUUGGUACAAUGGGCAUCUACCCCGAAAGGGGGAAGGAAAUCUCUUAAAGCCAAUCGUAGUUCGGAUUGAGGGCUGCAACUCGCCCUCAUGAAGCUGGAAUCCGUAGUAAUCGCGUUUCAACAGAACGCGGUGAAUACGUCCCUGCUCCUU